GACGAACGCUGGCGGCGUGCUUAACACAUGCAAGUCGAACGGAAAGGCCCUGCUUUUGUGGGGUGCUCGAGUGGCGAACGGGUGAGUAACACGUGAGUAACCUGCCCUUGACUUUGGGAUGACUUCAGGAAACUGGGGCUAAUACCGGAUAGGAGCUCCUGCUGCACGGUGGGGGUUGGAAAGUUUCGGCGGUUGGGGAUGGACUCGCGGCUUAUCAGCUUGUUGGUGGGGUAGUGGCUUACCAAGGCUUUGACGGGUAGCCGGCCUGAGAGGGUGACCGGCCACAUUGGGACUGAGAUACGGCCCAGACUCCUACGGGAGGCAGCAGUGGGGAAUAUUGCACAAUGGGCGGAAGCCUGAUGCAGCAACGCCGCGUGCGGGAUGACGGCCUUCGGGUUGUAAACCGCUUUCGCCUGUGACGAAGCGUGAGUGACGGUAAUGGGUAAAGAAGCACCGGCUAACUACGUG
rnacentral:rRNA from 1 species